AAACUGUUAAUUGAACCUUUUACAUGCUCUUUGUAUGAUUCCUUUAAGUAAAGUCCUAUUUGUUUUGCAUGUCGCUUAGCAUUUAGACCUUUAAACCUAAGGUUUCAGCCUAGUUCUUACCUUAUAGUAAUAGUGGUCAUAAAUACCCUCUAGGACCUAUAGGACGGGACGGGUACUAGCACGAAAUAAUCACUCGUGACCAAUCCAUACAUUUAAAUAACCUUUACGGGGCGGGAAGCGUAGAAUAUGGAGAUGAUGACCGGUGCUCUAAUAUCUUGUGCGAUCCCUCUUUUGAGGAGUGAUUGCUGGGUAUUGCAUUGAUGUGAUCCAUAUUGUAAUUAAACCUAGGACCUCCAUUAUUUUCUUUCCUAAUGUUUUUUUUAAUUGUUUUCAUUUCUCUGCAUCAACUUCUUUUCUCAAAGACUGUCUAUUAUUCCUUGUCUUUUCAAAGUUUUAAACUUAUUUGUAACUACU
rnacentral:lncRNA from 1 species